UAUGCUGGAACAUGGAAUAACAAUAAAAGACAUGGAUAUGGAAUAUUAAAAUUAAAACAUAACAAAACAGAAAAAACAGACAAAACAGACAAAAUAGAUAAAACAAAAUUAAGAAAAAGUAAAAUAUUAUAUAAAGGUUUUUGGAAUAAUAAUGUAAGAACUUUUUGGGGAGUACAAACACAUGUAAAUAAUUCUGUAUAUUCAGGUUUUUGGAAAUUAAAUAAAAAAAAUGGCUAUGGUAUAAUGAAAUGGUAUUAUAGCAAAAAAAAAAAAAAAAAAAAAAAAUUAUAUAGUUCAAAAAAAUAUAUCAAUAAUGCUAAUAAUCAGGAUGUAAAUAAUGAAGGUGUAAAUAAUGAAGGUGUAAAUAAUGAAGGUGUAAAUAAUCAGGGAAUAAAUAAUCAUGAAGAGAAAAAAAAAAAAAAAAAAAAUAGAAGUAUAAAAGAAAAUGUUUACAUUGGAGAAUGGAAAAAUAACACAAUGCAUGGUUUAGGUACAUAUAUUUGGUAUAAUGUAAAAAAAUGUAAGAAUUUGUUUGUUAAUGAAAAAAUUGUUGAUAAUAAUGAUAAAGGCUUAGAUUUGUAUAAUAAUGAAAAUUAUAAUAAAUAUACAGGUUAUUGGAUAAAAGGAAAAAGGAAGGGAUAUGGGAUUUUUUAUUAUGAUUGUGGUGAUAAGUACAUAGGUAUAUGGAGAAAAAAUAAAAAAAAUGGAAUAGGUUAUUUUAUAAAAAUGAACGGGAUUAUUACUAAACGUAUCUAUAAAAAUAAUAAACUCAUAUCCGAAAUUGCUAUUAAUAAAGUAUAUAAGAUUAAUAAUCUAUAUACAAAUAGUUUAUGUAAUAUUAUAAAUUUAUAUUUUUUAAAAAAAUAUUUUAAUAUAUCAAAUAAUAAAAUAAAGGAAUUGUAUAAACAUAUUUAUUUAAAUUUGCCUUUUUUAAUAGAUAUUUAUAAUUCUUAUAAAAAUAAAAAAAAUAAAAAAAUUUAUUACUAUUAUUAUUAUAAUAACAAUGUUAGUAUUAAUAAUAAAGAGAGUGAGAAUGAUAGCGAUUCAGAGGGUGGAACUAUAAAUAAUGCUAUUACAGACAGUACGACUUUUAAUUUAAGAAAAUUAUGGAUAAUGUUUUAUGAUGCAAAUAUAAUUAAUUGUAAUUUUACUUUAUCUAAUUUAAACAAACUUAUAAUUAACCACGCAACGUUUUUUAUAGAGAAUGUAUUAAAUGAAAUUUUAGCAAAAGAGUUGGAGAGUAUACAGAACAACUUUGUAUUUAAUGAAAAGGAUAUAAUAAAUUGUUUCUUCAGUUCAAAACAUUUUUUUAACAAGUUAUUUUAUUGUGAUUUUUUUAAACAACAGGAA
ensembl:lncRNA